UUACUGAAAAGAUAAUUAGAAAUUAAUGUUCAUGACUGGAAAUUGAUAUUUAAAUGAUCAACCUUCCCCUUCCAAAUAUUUAUUUCAUUUUUUGGGUUUUAUUGCUUUAAUAUUUGGAAGACGACUCCGCCGAGUCUCCGACACAACCACAGUAGAAAACUAAGGAAGAGCGAGAAAGAGGGCAAAACCUACUCGCUUACUUGCCUGCCUGCGUUUAUCGGGUGAAGGUGGAGAAAGUCAGGUACUUUGAUUUAAUUUUGAGUUGGCCUAAAUGGAUCCAGCGGCUGAAGAGCAAUUAGAUUUUGGAGAUGAAGAGUAUGGAGGGGCUCAAAAGAUCCAGUAUCAGGGAAGUGGAGCAAUUUCUGCUCUUGCGGACGAUGAGAUGAUAGGUGAAGACGAUGAAUAUGAUGAUCUCUAUAAUGAUGUUAAUGUUGGAGAAGGCUUCUUGCAGCUGCAGCGUUCAGAAGCACCAGGGCCAACACCGGGUGUGGGUAAUGGGGGAUUCCAGACACAGAACACUAGUCUUUCCGAAACUAGAGCUGAAGUUGCAGGAACUCAGCAGCCAAGUGUUCAUGGGGUUGCAACUGAAGGGAAGCAUUCAAAUCCUGGGAUCCUUUCUCCUGAGUCAAAAGGGGGGCUGACAGCUGAUAGGGGACAAGUGGGAACUACUGAUAUUGCUCAAGCUAGAAUGGUUCAGGGGAUAGCUGAUGGUGCUCAAGUAGGACAUAUGGCAUUUCGGGGGCCAACACCUAUCCCCAACAAAUUGGGGAUUGAUUCUACUAAAAUGUCAGGAAAAAUGGUCCCCGAGUCUGCUCCAUUGCCAAACCCUAGCACGGUUGGUCCUAGAAGUGUUCCACAGAUACCACCUAAUCAGGUGGGCAUGAAUCCUAAUGCCAAUGUGAACCGUCCAGUGGUUAAUGAAAAUCCUAGCCGACCGGCUUUGGAGAAUGGAGGAACCAUGCUCUUUGUGGGAGAACUACAUUGGUGGACUACUGAUGCAGAGCUCGAGAGUGUGCUAUCACAAUAUGGAAGGGUAAAAGAGAUUAAGUUCUUUGAUGAGAGAGCUAGUGGCAAAUCAAAAGGCUAUUGCCAAGUUGAAUUUUAUGACCCAUCUGCAGCAGCUACAUGCAAAGAAGGAAUGAAUGGUCAUGUUUUUAAUGGGAGAGCUUGUGUAGUGGCCUUUGCUUCUCCACAAACCAUAAAACAGAUGGCUGCUUCUUAUAUGAACAAAAACCAAGUCCAGCCUCAGUCUCAGUCACAGGGAAGGAGGCCCGUGAAUGAUGGGGUGGGGAGAGGUAGUGGAAUGAAUCAACCUGGUGGAGAUGCAGGGAGGAAUUACGGGAGAGGGGGGUGGGGACGAGGAGGUCCUGGGGGUGGACCCAUGAGGGGAAGAGGUGGGCCUAUGGGAGCGAAGAACAUGGUUGGAAACACUUCUAUUCUUGGAAGUGGUGCUAGUGGAGGAGCAUAUGGGCAAGGCCUUGCAGGUCCCCCUUUUGGCGGCCCUCCUGCCGGUUUGAUGCCUCCUCAGGGUAUGAUGGGUGCUGGUUUUGAUCCGACAUAUAUGGGUAGAGGAGCAGGGUACGGGGGCUUAGGGCCUCCAUUUCCUGGGAUGCUUCCUUCAUUUCCAGCUGUUAAUGCAAUGGGACUUGCUGGGGUGGCUCCUCAUCUCAAUCCUGCCUUCUUUGGCAGAGGAGUGGUUGGUAAUGGAAUGGGGACAAUGGGGCCCACUGGAAUGGAUGGGCAUCAUGCUGGAAUGUGGACUGACACAAGCAUGGGCGGGUGGGGAGGAGAAGAAUAUGGGCAUAGGACUAGAGAGUCAAGUUAUGGUGGCGAAGAUGGUGCUUCUGAAUAUGGACAUGGAGAGGGUAGCCAUGAAAAGGAAGUAAGGUCAAAUGUGGCUUCCAGGGAGAAGGAACGUGGUUCUGAACGUGAAUGGUCAGGAAAUCCUGAGAAAAGGCAUCGGGAUGAGAGGGAGAUGGAAAGGGACCGGUAUGAGCGAGAUCACAGGUACAGGGAGGAGAAGGAUAGUUACAGGGAGGUCCGGGACCAGCGGCAAAGAGAUCGUGACAUGGGCUACGAGGAUGACCGUGACAGGGGACAAUCUUCGUCAAGAUCUCGAAGUAGGUCUAAAGCUAUGCCAGAAGAUGAUCGCAGACGAUCAAGGGAUGCAGAUUAUGGGAAGCGGAGACGCCUUCCAUCAGAGUGACAGAAUCAAGUAUUUGAUUCUUCUUAGAGAGGUCCUUCUUGAUCUGGCCUCUAGUAUUCUCGCUACUCCAUGUCUCUUCAUCUGGUUGCUAGAAUGCAUCUACCAUCACUAUUUCUGGUUUGAUUGGCCCCACAUGCAGAGCAUAGCUUCUGGACUGAAAACGGAGUGAAUUGGCAGCUUUAUAUUUUUUGUGAUUGAAUCAGCCUAAGUUGAUUAUCUCAAGGAGGAUGGGCUAUGUGAGCUGCUUUCCCUGGAUUUCUCUGAAAAUCUGUUGGUCUGCUAUUUUGCUAAAGAAGGCUUAAACAUAUUACCUCUCAUUUCUUUUCCUCAAAGCACUUUUUUUGCUCCUGGAAGAAAAUGUUAAAAGUAUCCAAUUAUUUUACUUUUGAAUAAGUGAAGGAUAAAGGAGUUAAGUGCUUGGAUGCAACCACAAUCCCUGCCAGUGUUCGUGCAGAUCACUUUUUUCUUCUUGUGAACUGGUUUUGUUGUAUUAAAUUCGCUACUGAUGAUGACCUGUGUCUCAUCAGUGUUCUGUACAAUUUGUGUAAAAAUUAUGAGGUCCUUGCUUGUAAAUGUUUGAUCUCUUGUAUCAAAAUAUGUUUGUUCUUUCUGUUGGGAGUCUUGUUAGUUAUCAGUACUGUGUAACUUGGAUUCACCAUUUCAAUUGUAAGUGGUCAUUGCUGAACUCGAGAAGUUUUUGUUUCUCGAUGGUUCUUCCUUCAAAUGUAUUACAUCUGGAUCAUGUAAAGCGCAAGAUGCAGUUUUGAUUGGGGACAAUUUUGCUGUAUGCAUUCCAUGAUUCCUAU